AACGAACGCUGGCGGCAUGCCUAACACAUGCAAGUCGAACGAGAUCUUCGGGUCUAGUGGCGCACGGGUGCGUAACGCGUGGGAAUCUGCCCCUUGGUUCGGAAUAACAGUUGGAAACGACUGCUAAUACCGGAUGAUGACGAAAGUCCAAAGAUUUAUCGCCAGAGGAUGAGCCCGCGUAGGAUUAGCUAGUUGGUGUGGUAAAGGCGCACCAAGGCGACGAUCCUUAGCCGGUCUGAGAGGAUGAUCAGCCACACUGGGACUGAGACACGGCCCAGACUCCUACGGGAGGCAGCAGUGGGGAAUAUUGGACAAUGGGCGAAAGCCUGAUCCAGCAAUGCCGCGUGAGCGAUGAAGGCCUUAGGGUUGUAAAGCUCUUUUACCCGGGAUGAUAAUGACAGUACCGGGAGAAUAAGCUCCGGCUAACUCCGUGCCAGCCGCCGCAGUAA
rnacentral:rRNA from 1 species